CAAGCAAAGGACAGUGUUCCCAUGGGAAUCCUGGAUUUCAAUGUCUCAGCUUGCUUGGUUUUAACUCAAGUGCUGAUCAGCUGUUUGCAACUAUUGCUUUUCACUAAAGCAGCUAAAAAUCAGUGGAGCUUUGUAGACUUUAUAUCAGCUUUGAACAGGUUCAAGAAGUGACUAUGUAGGCACUCUGAAGCAAACUGGGGACUUCAUCACCCCCUGUGCCAUUUCGCCAGCCUCUGUGGCGAAACAGCAAGGAUGAGGGGUGACUGUCACCACGCGCACCGCUUUGUUAUAGUGAUGCUUCUCCCAUCACAUGGGGAAGCUUCUCCAAAGCAGCUCAGAUCCGUGCUGGCUCCACUGGAGCCAACACAACACAAACAGGCUCCCAUGUUUGGAGGGAAGCUUUCUAGGAUGCUUCCACUUCAGUUGUGGGAGGGGCCUCUGCUGGAAGUCUCGCAACUUUGUGUGAUGGGCAGCAUGUCUAUCUGUGACCAAAAUAUGCAUAUAUGAUAUGUGUUAUGAAUGGAAGAGUGAAAGAGAGCUAGAAAUUUGAAGACACCAGUCUGUAGACUAAGGCCUGGAAAACUACCUGCUCAGGAAGUGUAAUUAAAACCUGCUAAUGAGACCUGAAAUAGUUGACCUGCCCGGCAAACUGUGAUAAGAACUGCGACUGAUAAGAGAAAUGUUUACAUCUGUUAACAUCUGUCAACAUUUGCUAACUUGAUGAACUUUUGGGGCAGAGCUGCUUGUGUUUGCUAACACCAAUCAAGAGGAAUCAACAUCUGGUCCAGGAAACUGAGGAUAUUCCAUGAUAGACGACAUCUAUGAUUCAUUUACAACUUUGGGACAACAUCAUCAGCAAAAUAUUGCUAUAUAAGUGACCUUAUGACAGUCCAGAAGGUGUGACAGACAGUGAGGCUGUUCACCCGCCAUGCUCAGUGGAGAUGGUGUACUUGGGAGUGGCAGAUCUGCUAUGGGAAAGCAGGAUUCUGUUCACUUUUUGGGGCCUCUUUUUCUCAUGGGAAGAGAAAAGAGUGCAUUUUGAAGUCAUGGUCUUUUUGAAGUUUUGGCGUUUUGGAACUAUGUCUUGGCAGGCAGCAGUGGAAGCUGGGUCUGGCAUAAGCAGGUGCUUCUCCAAAGAGGGAGAAAGAAUAUGGUAAUAUUUGUG